AACGAACGCUGGCGGCAGGCCUAAAACAUGCAAGUCGAACGGGUGUAGCAAUACAUCAGUGGCGCACGGGUGAGUAACGCGUGGGAACGUGCCCAUGUCGUGGGGGAUAACGUAGCGAAAGCUACGCUAAUACCGCAUACGUCCUGAGGGAGAAAGCGGGGGAUCUUUGGACCUCGCGCGAUUGGAGCGGCCGAUGUCGGAUUAGCUAGUAGGUGAGGUAAAGGCUCACCUAGGCGACGAUCCGUAGCGGGUCUGAGAGGAUGAUCCGCCACACUGGGACUGAGACACGGCCCAGACUCCUACGGGAGGCAGCAGUGGGGAAUUUUGGACAAUGGGGGCAACCCUGAUCCAGCCAUGCCGCGUGAGUGAAGAAGGCCUUCGGGUUGUAAAGCUCUUUCGGCCGGGAAGAAAUCGUGGUCUCUAACAUAGGCCAUGGAUGACGGUACCGGACUAAGAAGCACCGGCUAACUACGUG
rnacentral:rRNA from 1 species